AAAGAGACCGCGAACCCCUUUGGAGGGAAACGAAUGCAGCUCGAUGGGGUAUGAGCGGGUUCAGGGCCGGUUAACUACCGAAGCGGCUGUACAGACCCGUAUGGGGCUGUACCGUCGGUUUUGGGUGGUAAAUCGUCCUGCACUCCCSCUAAAUGUCCGGCCAGCGUCGGUUUGGUUUGGCUCUUGCGGACGGUCGGGUAGGUACCUCACUGUGCGGUUUCGGCGUGCGCAGGGAGAACUUAAAGCCGGUCGUUUUUUUGCAGUUGAACGUAGCGAACCGAGGAGACGUGUGCCAAUUCACACAGGCAGAGCAUGCCCGCCGUUUCUGCGGUGGGCCGGACCGCUUCUAAUCGUUGAGUAGGCGCUGCUGGGACUGUUUGCCAGUGCCAGUUGACGCUUUGUUCUCCGGGUUGGGAGGCCGGUCGCGCCUUG
rnacentral:sRNA from 1 species